GACGAACGCUGGCGGCGUGCUUAACACAUGCAAGUCGAACGGAAAGGCCCCUUUGGGGGUACUCGAGUGGCGAACGGGUUAGUAACACGUGAGUAACCUGCCCUUGACUUCGGGAUAACUUCAGGAAACUGGGGCUAAUACCGGAUAGGAAUCCUUGCUGCAUGGUGGGGGUUGGAAAGCUUCGGCGGUUUUGGAUGGACUCGCGGCUUAUCAGCUUGUUGGUGGGGUAGUGGCUUACCAAGGCUUUGACGGGUAGCCGGCCUGAGAGGGCGACCGGCCACGGGGGGACUGAGGGACGGCCCAGACUCCGACGGGGGGCAGCAGUGGGGAGGAGUGCGCAAGGGGCGGGAGCCGGAUGCAGCAGGGCCGCGGGCGGGAUGACGGCCUUCGGGUUGUAAACCGCUUUCAGCAGGGGCGAAGCUUGUGGUGACGGUACCUGCAGAAGAAGCACCGGCUAACUACGUG
rnacentral:rRNA from 1 species